UGGGGAAUAUUGGGCAAUGGGCGCAAGCCUGACCCAGCAACGCCGCGUGAAGGAAGAAGGCUUUCGGGUUGUAAACUUCUUUUAAGGGGGACGAACAAAUGACGGUACCCCUUGAAUAAGCCGCGGCUAACUACGUGCCAGCAGCCGCGGUAAUACGUAGGUGGCAAGCGUUAUCCGGAUUUAUUGGGUGUAAAGGGCGUGUAGGCGGGAAUGCAAGUCAGAUGUGAAAACUAUGGGCUCAACCCAUAGCCUGCAUUUGAAACUGUAUUUCUUGAGUGCUGGAGAGGCAAUCGGAAUUCCGUG
rnacentral:rRNA from 1 species